CUGGCUCAGGAUGAACGCUGGCGGCGUGCUUAACACAUGCAAGUCGAACGAAGCAGUUUAUCACGAUCCCUUCGGGGUGACGAUUUAC
rnacentral:rRNA from 1 species